GUUUAUUAAGCUUAUAAAUAAUAUAAUUUGAAAGUGCUUCAUGUCAAAAGAUGUACAAAAAAACCCUGUGACAACAGAUGUUUAAUAAGCUUUAUUUACAGUUCAUUUACAUAUGUUGUGUUGUUUUUCUUCUGUUUAAAGUUUUUUCACCUUUCUGCUACAAAUUGUCACUUUUCACCAUAAUUGGUGAAAAAUAAAAGAAGAGUGGAAUCCAGUUAAAGCCUCCGUUGAUGAUGUGUCCGUCCCUGUCAUGUGGGGAUAUUGUGCACGAAAAGAAAUAGCUUGACAUUAUGUAUUUAUUUAUUGAUGUGUGUGUGUGUUUGUGUUAUUACAGAUAGUUCCUCCACAAUAAUUCCAAGGUCAGGAGGCAAACAAAGAAAAUGGAUGUAUAAGCAAGCAGAAUGCCAAGUACAUCCCAGAUUAAAACAAUUUCCAUAUGACAAGAUCAUAAGGAGGAGGACAUCAAAGGAAGUAAGAUUGAAGUCAUGUUUUGUUUGUAAUGUUUGUCAGAAAUGUAUUCCUUAGUUAAAGUUUAACACUUAAGAAAAUAUGUAAAAUGUAAAUAUAUUUGAAAUAAGAACAUAUCAGUGGCCUAGAAACGGCAUGGUAUUGGCACAUUUAUUUGUAUAAAAUUUUUUAGGGGGGCAGGGAGGAUUAGGGGGGUUGUGUUGGUAAGGCAUGUUAAGUUGUAUUUGUGAGGACCAAAUGUCUUCUUGGUGAUAUUUACUAGGAAAGCUGAUUAAUAAGCAUAAUCUUUUUUUUUUUUUUUUUUUUUUGAAAAUGUAAAAAUACAGAAGGUUUUCUGUGAUAGGUAGGUUUAAGGGUAGGGUUAGUAUAGGGGGAGAGAAUAUACAAUUUGUACAUAAGAAUCAUUAUAUCUAUGGAGGUCCUCAAAAGUAUAGCAAAACAAACGUGUGGUCCUGUCUUUUAUUCCCAGAUUAAGGAUCCAUGUCCCUGUGCCUUUAUCAGUGUUUUUUCUGAUUUUACGAAUGAAUGCUUAGUCAAACUUUUAUGUACCUGUUCUUGGUUAAGUUACUGUAUUUGUUUGUUGUUCAUGUUUUCUUGUAAAAUAUACUUUUAGUGCAUGUAACUGUUUCUUUGCUGUUUUCUAAUACAUCUAAUAAUCGAUUGAAAUUACUUUUCAGUUUAAAAAUCACUUAUGGUUUUUAAUAAAUAAUCAAAC
ensembl:lncRNA